ensembl:lncRNA
GCAGGCAGAGUGGUCAGGCAGGUGGGCUCAGAGUCAGGACAGGCAGGUCAGGCAGGCUCAGAGUCAGGACAGGCAGAGUGGUCAGGCAGGCGGGCUCAGAGUCAGGACAGGCAGAGUGGUCAGGCAGGCGGGCUCAGAGUCAGGACAGGCAGAGCGGUCAGGCAGGUGGGCUCAGAGUCAGGACAGGCAGACUGGUCAGGCAGGUGGGCUCAGAGUCAGGACAGGCAGAGCGGUCAGGCAGGUGGGCUCAGAGUCAGGGCAGGCAGAGCGGUCAGGCAGGUGGGCUCAGGGUCAGGACAGGCAGAGUGGUCAGGCAGGUGGGCUCAGAGUCAGGACAGGCAGAGUGGUCAGGCAGGUGGGCUCAGAGUCAGGACAGGCAGAGUGGUCAGGCAGGUGGGCUCAGAGUCAGGACAGGCAGAGUGGUCAGGCAGGUGGGCUCAGGGUCAGGCAGGUGGGCUCAGAGUCAGGACAGGCAGAGUGGUCAGGCAGGCGGGCUCAGAGUCAGGACAGGCAGAGUGGUCAGGCAGGCGAGCUCAGAGUCAGGGCAGGCAGAGUGGUCAGGCAGGCGGGCUCAGAGUCAGGACAGGCAGAGUUGUCAGGCAGGUGGG